rnacentral:rRNA from 1 species
CAGUCGCCGCGGGAAUACGGAGGGUGCAAGCGUUAAUCGGAAUUACUGGGCGUAAAGCGCACGCAGGCGGUUUGUUAAGUCAGAUGUGAAAUCCCCGAGCUUAACUUGGGAACUGCAUUUGAAACUGGCAAGCUAGAGUCUUGUAGAGGGGGGUAGAAUUCCAGGUGUAGCGGUGAAAUGCGUAGAGAUCUGGAGGAAUACCGAUGGCGAAGGCAGCCAUCUGGCCUAAUACUGACGCUGAGGUACGAAAGCAUGGGGAGCAAACAGGAUUAGAUACCCCAGUAGUCCCUGUCUCUUAUAA